rnacentral:lncRNA from 1 species
UCCGGACAUCGGGUACCAUUGCUAGAUGGUCACUUAGAUUAGUACAAGAAUUGGUUCCUAUGCUACCAGCUUAGGUUCGAACCUGCGGGGUCACACACAUUAGAGGUUCCUAUCUGAUCUGAUGGCUGGUGUAGAAUCCUACAUGUUUGAGACUCACUGAUCGAGAAUCAGGAUUCUCUGAUCACGAGUUUCACACAUUAUGGGUACCAGGGUCAAGAGUCCCAUUGGUUGGGACUUUUCGAUCAGGGUUACAUAUCGAUGAAUUCUGAUGCCCGAUUGCCCAUCGAAUUUGGAGUCAAUAUUUAUGAGAAAUUUAAUUAGUGAUUUGAUCGCUAAUUAACUCAAUUUGAUUGAGUAAUUAUUUUUUUGAUCAAGUCCAAUUGAAUUGGAUUC